GUGUCGGCGAGGCUAGAAAAGGAGCAGGUUUUUCAUUAAACGACAAUGAUACUCGUCAGCCAUCCAUUUAGCGACUACGAUGAAUAAUCAUUAACGAUUAGUGGUCAAAGUUAUGCGAGGCAAGGAACGUGACUGCCAAAGGAGUUAAAUAAAUUAUCCUGCCUUCAAGAGUAAUGGAGACGACGAUCGUGGAUGCGCGUCCUUUCGCGCUAGAGAAAAUAAAAUGAGAAGAGGCUUGAAAUCGUAAGAUACGUCACGAAUCGUGCGAAAAUCCUCAAUGAGUUCAUGAGAUUAAAGAAGAUGGCGCACGUCUAGCCCGUAAACGAUGGCAUUUUAAACGAAGUGGUUCUGACUGAGGAGGAGCAAACCCGAGCCGUGAACCAGGCACGAAAGAGGAUAAUAUGAGGAGGGCUCUUACUUUGAACUCCCAACAAGCAAGAGUUUCUUCACCUCAUUAUGCACUUUAACGCAUUAUUAUUCUCUUUGCCACUGGCAUCUCAAGGGCAGCGACAAAGGCGAGUCUGUUUAAAAUUACUUAGCAACCUGCCUGAAACUGACCCUACGCAAUUUUUCAAAUUUUGCACUUUCAUUUCACUAAGUCUUUGAUUGUCGUUAAUGCAUCCUUUUUUUUCACAGGGGUUCAAUCGACGAAGGAUGAACGGUGGGGAUUUUUUUUUCAAUUAAAAUCCAAGAGCAAGAUGCAAUCGACAAUUGUAACAGCCAUUGAAGAGGCAAGUUUCACAGUAAGGAUUCGGAUCACGAUCACGCACUAUCCCAAUACGGCAGGCAGCCUUUACGAAAAGUCUGUGAAAAAGAGCCAAUGUAAUUUCAAGGUGCAGUUCAAAAUUGAAGGAGGGUCGAAGUUCACUGAAACAUGCAUGAAUAGGGAAAUGACGCCAUUAAUGAAGUAUGACGGCGGGCAGGGUAGGGAAGCGCAAAGAACUUUAAGAUGAAAAGAAUUUUUAAAAAAAUGCAAAAUCCAUCUAAGGAAAGCAUAUCAGUUGUUAUCAGCAGACACGUGAAUUCUAGAGCAAUGCAUACUAAUUGUAACUGCAGUCAUAGGCUAUUCAAAGAGAACACAUACUGCAGUGUGUCUCAUUGCAAUCUCAAAGUGCAUCUUAGGUCGGCAGUGAUGCAAUUCUCAUUCUUAAAAAUCUAACGAGUAUUAUCAGUCUUUCCAAGUACAUCGUACCAAUACCAUAUUAUGUGAUUUCUUCGCAGUUUUAGCGUAUAUAUUUUUUAAAUCCUUUUUCUAAAAAUUCCAGAAAGUCUCGCGUCUCCCUGAAUUCUGGAAAGGAUCCAGCGAAGAUUUAGACUGCCUUCUCCUCACGACAGAGGAGACAUACAUAUACCUACGUACAAGGGAGAGAUAGGACCCAAGUGUACGGAAGGGAGUGAGUGCAUACAAGAUGCAUGUAUGUAUGUAAUAGUAGAGAGAAGGGCUGGCUACUGCACAAAGAUGCAUGCUGGAGAGAUACAACAGGAAAAAAAUAAAGUUCAUUGAGCUUGCCCGGGCUGGAUUCGACUGUUGGAUUCUCACAAGCCUAACUGAAUGGCGUCGGUUAUAAACGCGCCCAACGCCGGAUGUGCACAUAUGUUCAGUGUACUAUUCGUGAAGAGGACUGCGUGGAAAACAAAGAAUAAGAAUAAUAACAGCUUAUAACGUAAGGAAUGAAAGAACAAGAAAAGAUCAGCCUGUUAUUCGGAGGAAGUGAGGUCGAAGUGUCGCGGUAUGCGAGGAAGUUAUGCCGAGAACUCAUCCUAAGGACGAGGGAUGAUACUUUCUUUGAAUUCCUGGACAUUAGCCGAUGUGAGAGCAAGAGACGAGGAAGAAAAAUUAUUUUGCACCAGAAAUCACUGACAACGUCAUUCGAUCUGAAUGAAAUCAUUGUACUUUAAAUAAUUGGAGGCAAAUUUAUAUUGUACUUUUAAUUGACUUUUACGGAGGUGAAGAAAAACUUUUUACCUCUGACGUGCGUAAGAAGGUACGGGCGGAGAAAGGUUAACGGAACAAUAUCUUGGAGCCAGAUUAAUUCUGGACCAAUGAGGAUAAAGAAGGACCUAAAAAGAAUAGGGCCUUAGUCCCGAUGAAGAAAGUGUAAUUCUACGACAAUGGCGAGCAGACAAAUUUUUAAGGAUCGUAAUACGCUGCUAGGGACUUUAAGUAAAUCAGGCUCUACGCCAUUACAAGGAAUAGCGGGAUGGGUCCGACAACGGUGACCGGGACUCGAUGGGACGCCAAUGGGACGAAGUGGGCUCGUUUGGAUCGAGCGGUAGGCUCGGCAGUUAGCACGGGGCCCUUCCUGCGCCUUGUUAGCGUGUUAAGACCCCCUCGUAUACAGGGGAGCCACGAAAACUAUUCUUCGAAGCACAUAUAAGAAGAGAAUCUUAUGUUUUCCACUGGGUGCACUGGUGUCAGUGAGGAUGCUCGGUAUCAGACCUUGCAAAUCUGACGUCAUAUAUUGCAACACCAGAUCAACAAAGGAGAACAAAAACAUUGCAAGUCCGAAAGUCAGCUCCCGUGACUGCAAGAUGAAAUUGUAGCUUAGUAGGAAGAAAGAAAUGAAACAGAAGCAAAUCGCUCGAAUUCUCGUGAAACGUAACCAGAUGGUAGCACGUGUUGUAAGAGAAAACUGACUGGGUGUUGUGCGUUUAAAAUGCAUCUGGUAGACGCAAAGGCCAAGAGAGAGAAAGAGAAAGACAGAUAUAGAAUAUAUAAAAAAGAAAAGGAAAAUGAAAGCACGAGAAAAUUAGUGAGUAUGACGACGAGGGGGGGAGCACAAAGGAACCUGGCAACGCUGUUUUUGUUGCAUCUCUUCAUUUUUUUUAACGACGUCCGUUUACUGUAACGACUACACCAUUUAGCUAUGGUUGCAAACCGAAAAAAAUUGUGCAAAAGCCGCCGAAACCUAUUAGAUUGUCAUGACAGAUGGAAAAUAGUCCAGUUUCAAUCGGUAACGGUAUCAAUUUUCUUCUUAGCUCAGGUAACGAUUCCAGAGUAUGGAGUGUAGAAAAAUUCAGUCAACGCCUACGCAGUGUAGUGAAGCUCUGACAAAGUUUUCCAACGUAGGAAACCGGGGAUCUAAGAUGAAAGAUGAGAAGGAGGUGGCGAUGCAGGAGAAAGAUGGAAAUACAAAGGAAGCAAGGCUAAGAAAAAGAAGGGACAAAAAAAACGAAGCCCCCAGUUGCAGGUUUUGAUUGCCGUGCACCUGGAAACCUUAUUUAUAUUGUAGCUUGUUAAAAGGCCAAGAAGAGAGUAGGAGGUCAGGAGGAGAUACAUUGGCUGAAGAAAGGAAGGGAGAACGAGUGAGAUGAGUAUGGCUAAGAGAAGAAAAAGAUGGUAGGUAGGGUCUCCUCUUAGAGUCUACAUUCCUGAGGUUGGGGUUCCCGUGUACCGACAGGCCAGCUUGGGGCCCCAUAGAGCAUAGAAUUAUGUAUUAUGCUUUCCCCCUGGCAAGGCCACAAGUCCAUCUCGUUCCGAGUGUAUCUUUACCCCGAGGAUGCUGCAGCUAUCUAUCUACACAUUGGAGAAGUUAUCACAGUUGAUCGUUCCAACUUCUACAUUGUAAGGAGCCAGAAAAAUUUGAAGUCAAAUAUUAAGACUCUUACAACCGUUAGGGCUGCGGGUGUUAUCGUACAAAAAUUACGGAGCCUCAUUUUUUUUAUUGGUUUACCACACUUGACCAUGUAAAUAUGUCAUGGGGUUCCGUGCUGACUAAAUAGGAAGUUGACUAGUUGGUUUAAAUAAAUUAGAACGGAGUUUCCACGACGAGGUAAUAAAAAGAAUCGAAUUGGCAGAGGCUCCCUUUAUCUUAUCUGUGGAAACAAUUGAGAUAAUGAGAAAGCAGGAGGUCGUGGAUUAAACUGACCUCCCUGGCUGAGACGCAUUAACCUCAAAACGCGUAAUACUUUACUCUGAACAUUUUUAUAGCUUUAAAAUUUACCUACGAUCAACAUGCACGUGCAAUUAAUGACUUGGGUGCACGAAUAAAUUCAGGAUGCGUAUCGUUAUCUUUCUAUAAUACAUAUUUUUAAUUUAACGGUAUGUCACGUGAUGUCUUCUAUGCACGGGAUAAACUACAUAUGCACUAUACAGCAAUGCGAUUUAAAUAUGAACAGGGUGAAACUGUGUAUGCUGAACAUGAAGCAUAGUAUACUGGAUGAUGGUGCGUAUAUCUCUGGGAUAAUAAGAAGACGACCGGGCCUGUAGGACAAGGGCAAAAAUUUGACAAAUGGUCGACGUGUUUUCUUGCAAGACCGACCGGUUAUGGUCGCAGCGGGAGUCUGGGCGCACCGAGAAACCUUUACCCAAACACCAAAUAUUACUUUUGACAUAAGUCUCUUCUCUCACUCUAUGCUUUUUUAGCACAUUAACGAAAUGUAUGUAGG